UAUCCUUCCCCUCCGUGAUUCUAAAAUUUUAUGCGUAAAAUUUCAUAAAUCUGAAGAAAAAAAACGAGGGGUAGUCUUCUUUGCCAAAACUGAGAAACCCAGCUUCAACGAAAAAAACAUAAAAGGAAUCUCCUCGAACACUCGAAGGAAGAACAACCUUUUUUUCCAUAACCAAAUUAAUCUCCUCUGAAGCUACAAAAUCAAUCAAACAAUCGAGGGGCAUUCUAAUUUCAAACCAAAUUCAUACCCCAUCGGUUUUUAAUUUUUAAACCAAACACAAAACAACUUCUCUUUGAAUCAGGUUUUACAGUAUUCAAUCUUCAAUCCAAAGCAAGGACAACACUGUGAUUCUAGAAAUGAUUCGAGAUUACACAAAAAGAGAAGGUUUAACCUAGCUAAACCACACUUAUACAUUCACAAUCACCAGAUGAGGCGAGGAGUAAUGCGUGUCGUUGGUUCUGUCUCUGAUUAGUAAGAGCUUAGACGCAUGAGGACGAGACAGUAUGAUUACUUCCAGCGGAUGUUGAAUUGGAUAUUGUGAAAUUAAUCGUUCCUGCAUGGUCCUUAUCUAAAAUUGCUUGCAAGUUCUGUGAGGACAUCUCUACAGCUAUUGGGUCAGUUUCUAUUACGAAAACUGAACUUGCAUGAAAGUUCCUGUUGGAGGUGAGGUUAAGGUGGGCGUCCGUAUUACCCUCUGAUCUCUUUUGACUAAAGGUAAAAAUUGACCUUGUAUAGGUGGAUUGUCGUUGGGAGCUUUAGGAGUGAUCGCUUUUGGAUAAGUGACAAAUGUUCAUUGUAUCGCCGCAACGUUGGAAGCUUCAGGGGUUAAAAAAAAUUGAAGAUGUUUUUUUUAUUCCCUUUUUUUACCCCGUGUAGAAGGGAUUGAUUGAUAGUUAUAACUAAAAUUACAGCGAUACUAAUUUACCAACCAUCUAAGUUUUGCAACCCAACGUAAAGAAGUUGGAUUAGAUGACACGGGAUAAUGGCUAUAUGAUGGAAAAGUCAUUUCAGUAUCAACGAUUGAGCUUUUUGGGGACCCAGAGCACUGCAGUUUUGAAGUGUAUUCAUGAGCAUGCGAUUAUCUUUACGAUGGAAGUGGAGUUUACUCUCUUGACCGAUAUCACCGUGAGAGCAUUAGAGGGUCUAUCCCUUUUUAAAUUUGGUAUAGUUUUACCAUUCGUAUAUACAGUUCGUGAUGACUCUUAGAAAAAACAGGUUUUGUUGUGGCUUACAUGGAAGUCGAAUACACGCCAAAGAGAUGUUCAAUUGCAUAAAAGGCUAAACAAGCGGUAAUAACAUAAACUAUACGAGAUAGACAAGUUCGAUUUGCUAUGGAACAGAACUGCAAGCGCAUCGUGCGUGCGUGUUAUACUAGUAUUCAUAAUGAUAACUAAUAUUUAUAUUUUCUUUC